rnacentral:rRNA from 1 species
AUUGAACGCUGGCGGAAUGCUUUACACAUGCAAGUCGAACGGCAGCACGGACUUCGGUCUGGUGGCGAGUGGCGAACGGGUGAGUAAUGUAUCGGAACGUGCCCAGUCGUGGGGGAUAACGUAGUGAAAAUUACGCUAAUACCGCAUACGAUCUAUGGAUGAAAGCGGGGGAUCGCAAGACCGCGCGCGAUUGGAGGGGCCGAUAUCAGAUUAGGUAGUUGGUGGGGUAAAGGCCCACCAAGCCAACGAUCUGUAGCUGGUCUGAGAGGACGACCAGCCACACUGGAACUGAGACACGGUCCAGACUCCUACGGGAGGCAGCAGUGGGGAAUUUUGGACAAUGGGCGAAAGCCUGAUCCAGCCAUUCCGCGUGCAGGAUGAAGGCCCUCGGGUUGUAAACUGCUUUUGUACAGAACGAAAAGGUUUCUACUAAUACUAGGAGCUCAUGACGGUACUGUAAGAAUAAGCACCGGCUAACUACGUGCCAGCCGCCGCGGUAA